GUGCUUGCUUUGGCAGCACAUGGACUAAAAUUGGAACAAUACAGAGACUAGCAUGGUCCCUGUGCAAGGAUGACAUGCAAAUUCGUGAGGUGCUCCAUAUUUUU